UUAAGCGACUAAGCGUACACGGUGGAUGCCCUGGCAGUCAGAGGCGAUGAAGGACGUGCUAAUCUGCGAUAAGCGUCGGUAAGGUGAUAUGAACCGUUAUAACCGGCGAUUUCCGAAUGGGGAAACCCAGUGUGUUUCGACACACUAUCAUUAACUGAAUCCAUAGGUUAAUGAGGCGAACCGGGGGAACUGAAACAUCUAAGUACCCCGAGGAAAAGAAAUCAACCGAGAUUCCCCCAGUAGCGGCGAGCGAACGGGGAGCAGCCCAGAGCCUGAAUCAGUGUGUGUGUUAGUGGAAGCGUCUGGAAAGGCGCGCGAUACAGGGUGACAGCCCCGUACACAAAAAUGCACAUGCUGUGAGCUCGAUGAGUAGGGCGGGACACGUGGUAUCCUGUCUGAAUAUGGGGGGACCAUCCUCCAAGGCUAAAUACUCCUGACUGACCGAUAGUGAACCAGUACCGUGAGGGAAAGGCGAAAAGAACCCCGGCGAGGGGAGUGAAAAAGAACCUGAAACCGUGUACGUACAAGCAGUGGGAGCACGCUUAGGCGUGUGACUGCGUACCUUUUGUAUAAUGGGUCAGCGACUUAUAUUCUGUAGCAAGGUUAACCGAAUAGGGGAGCCGAAGGGAAACCGAGUCUUAACUGGGCGUUAAGUUGCAGGGUAUAGACCCGAAACCCGGUGAUCUAGCCAUGGGCAGGUUGAAGGUUGGGUAACACUAACUGGAGGACCGAACCGACUAAUGUUGAAAAAUUAGCGGAUGACUUGUGGCUGGGGGUGAAAGGCCAAUCAAACCGGGAGAUAGCUGGUUCUCCCCGAAAGCUAUUUAGGUAGCGCCUCGUGAAUUCAUCUCCGGGGGUAGAGCACUGUUUCGGCAAGGGGGUCAUCCCGACUUACCAACCCGAUGCAAACUGCGAAUACCGGAGAAUGUUAUCACGGGAGACACACGGCGGGUGCUAACGUCCGUCGUGAAGAGGGAAACAACCCAGACCGCCAGCUAAGGUCCCAAAGUCAUGGUUAAGUGGGAAACGAUGUGGGAAGGCCCAGACAGCCAGGAUGUUGGCUUAGAAGCAGCCAUCAUUUAAAGAAAGCGUAAUAGCUCACUGGUCGAGUCGGCCUGCGCGGAAGAUGUAACGGGGCUAAACCAUGCACCGAAGCUGCGGCAGCGACGCUUAUGCGUUGUUGGGUAGGGGAGCGUUCUGUAAGCCUGUGAAGGUGUGCUGUGAGGCAUGCUGGAGGUAUCAGAAGUGCGAAUGCUGACAUAAGUAACGAUAAAGCGGGUGAAAAGCCCGCUCGCCGGAAGACCAAGGGUUCCUGUCCAACGUUAAUCGGGGCAGGGUGAGUCGACCCCUAAGGCGAGGCCGAAAGGCGUAGUCGAUGGGAAACAGGUUAAUAUUCCUGUACUUGGUGUUACUGCGAAGGGGGGACGGAGAAGGCUAUGUUGGCCGGGCGACGGUUGUCCCGGUUUAAGCGUGUAGGCUGGUUUUCCAGGCAAAUCCGGAAAAUCAAGGCUGAGGCGUGAUGACGAGGCACUACGGUGCUGAAGCAACAAAUGCCCUGCUUCCAGGAAAAGCCUCUAAGCAUCAGGUAACAUCAAAUCGUACCCCAAACCGACACAGGUGGUCAGGUAGAGAAUACCAAGGCGCUUGAGAGAACUCGGGUGAAGGAACUAGGCAAAAUGGUGCCGUAACUUCGGGAGAAGGCACGCUGAUAUGUAGGUGAAGUCCCUCGCGGAUGGAGCUGAAAUCAGUCGAAGAUACCAGCUGGCUGCAACUGUUUAUUAAAAACACAGCACUGUGCAAACACGAAAGUGGACGUAUACGGUGUGACGCCUGCCCGGUGCCGGAAGGUUAAUUGAUGGGGUUAGCCGCAAGGCGAAGCUCUUGAUCGAAGCCCCGGUAAACGGCGGCCGUAACUAUAACGGUCCUAAGGUAGCGAAAUUCCUUGUCGGGUAAGUUCCGACCUGCACGAAUGGCGUAAUGAUGGCCAGGCUGUCUCCACCCGAGACUCAGUGAAAUUGAACUCGCUGUGAAGAUGCAGUGUACCCGCGGCAAGACGGAAAGACCCCGUGAACCUUUACUAUAGCUUGACACUGAACAUUGAGCCUUGAUGUGUAGGAUAGGUGGGAGGCUUUGAAGUGUGGACGCCAGUCUGCAUGGAGCCGACCUUGAAAUACCACCCUUUAAUGUUUGAUGUUCUAACGUUGACCCGUAAUCCGGGUUGCGGACAGUGUCUGGUGGGUAGUUUGACUGGGGCGGUCUCCUCCUAAAGAGUAACGGAGGAGCACGAAGGUUGGCUAAUCCUGGUCGGACAUCAGGAGGUUAGUGCAAUGGCAUAAGCCAGCUUGACUGCGAGCGUGACGGCGCGAGCAGGUGCGAAAGCAGGUCAUAGUGAUCCGGUGGUUCUGAAUGGAAGGGCCAUCGCUCAACGGAUAAAAGGUACUCCGGGGAUAACAGGCUGAUACCGCCCAAGAG
rnacentral:rRNA from 1 species